GACGAACGCUGGCGGCGUGCCUAAUACAUGCAAGUAGAACGCUGAAGAGAGGAGCUUGCUCUUCUUGGAUGAGUUGCGAACGGGUGAGUAACGCGUAGGUAACCUGCCUGGUAGCGGGGGAUAACUAUUGGAAACGAUAGCUAAUACCGCAUAAAAUUGAUUAUUGCAUGAUAAUUAAUUGAAAGAUGCAACUGCAUCACUACCAGAUGGACCUGCGUUGUAUUAGCUAGUUGGUGAGGUAACGGCUCACCAAGGCGACGAUACAUAGCCGACCUGAGAGGGUGAUCGGCCACACUGGGGAUGAGACACGGCCCAGACUCCUACGGGAGGCAGCAGUAGGGAAUCUUCGGCGAUGGGGGGAACCCUGACCGAGCAACGCCGCGUGAGUGAAGAAGGUUUUCGGAUCGUAAAGCUCUGUUGUAAGAGAAGAACGGGUGUGAGAGUGGAAAGUUCACAAUGUGACGGUAUCUUACCAGAAAGGGACGGCUAACUACGUG
rnacentral:rRNA from 1 species